UGACUAUUUUGAAUGAAACGCUUGAUUGUUCGAUGAUCACGCUUCAGAAGCUUUGCAAUUUUAAGAGUGCUGCAUCCCUCUGCAAGAUAUCUCACUAUUUUUGACUUUUCUGAGCCUGUCAAGUCCUUCUUUUGACCCAUUUUGCCAAAGGAAAGGAAGUUGCCUAAUAAUUAUGCACAGCUGAUAUAGGGUGUUGAUGUCAUUAGACCACACCCCUUCUCAUUACAGAGAUGCACAUCACCUAAUAUGCUUAAUUGGUAGUAGGCUUUCGAGCCUAUACAGCUUGGAGUAAGACAACAUGCAUAAAGAGGAUGAUGUGGUCAAAAUACUCAUUUGCCUAAUAAUUCUGCACUCCCUGUACACUGUUGCUAGUUUAACACUAAAAUGUUAAACCAUUAUAGACUGCUAAAAUGUCAUAAAAACAAAGAUCUAAAUAUCUAACACCAAUUAGGGUUAUUAAAAAGCACUAUAGUUAUUUGAUGCAUUGACUAAAUGAAAAUAAGGUUACAUUUUCAAUACGAUGUGACAGCACAGGGUAUUUUACUUUAGAGGUUUUUAUUCCCGGUCUGUUGAACUUUAAUCACACACACAGGAGGCUCCUGCAGGCUAUUAACAAAGCAGAAGAUAAGAAAUUCUCCAUAUAUGUGUCUCCCACCUGUUGAAACCCUUUCAUUGGGCACUGGGAGAACGGGGCUCCUGACUCCACCAGAACAUAUUGUCCCCAUACUCCAUGGUAUUCCCAGAUAGCUCAUGCCCUCAGCCACCCUCUGUCUCAACAACACCUUGAUUGUCCAUAUGGUGUUUAAACAUCACUUGUUUGAAGGUUUUGCCAGUCGUGGCUGAGUUACGAUCUGAUAUACAGUUCCAUUUGGCUGGCUUGAACUUUUCACUCUCUACGUGAUCUCUACAAGGGUGCCUUUGUAGCCGGCAGGCAUUCUGGGUGCUCUGAUGGGCUGUGUCUAUGGUAUGGGGGAGGGAGAUGGUGGAAAUAUCACUUUUAGUACUGUUCAGGGUUUUCUGUUGCAACACACCAGGGGGUGUGACUAGGUCUGCAUAAAUAAAGUCAUUUAACUCAUAAAUGACAGAGAUCUGAACAGUUAAAGUACAGGGGCAUGGUCAACACACACGAAACCACUCCUUAUUCUAAGGUUGUUUGGUGCUUAUAGUGUCUGUUUGAAAAAGGCUUUGCCAUCUGACAAUUUAUUUUCUUUGCCUUAGAAGGCUAUAUCUAGUGCUAAUAUUGUAACAUUUAAUCAGCAUUAUUAGAAGUAAAAUAUGUAUAUCUAGCAGGUAAUUCCUAAGUGCACACUUGCAUUUAGCUUAAAGGAUCACUAUAGGGUCAGGAAAACAAACAUGUAUUCCUGAUCCUAUAGGAUUAAAACCACCAUCUAGGCCCCCUGAUACCUCCCUAAAUAUAGUAAAAUCUUACUUGUAUUCAAGUCUGGAGCUGCUUGCAUUGCCACUGUUUCCUUUAGACCUGCCCACUGCCCGCUGACAUCAGCAGAAGUGGUAGCCUGAUCCAAUCACAAUGCUUCCCCAUAGGAUUGGCUGAGACUGACAAGGAGGCAGAUCAGGGCAGAGCCAGCAUGAUUCAAACAUAGCCCUGGCCAAUCAGCAUCUCCUCAUAGAGAUGAAUCGAAUCAAUGGAUCUCUAUGAGGAAAGUUCAGUGUCUGCAUGCAGUGGGAGGAUACACUGAAUGUCUGGAUGCAUUUUAGGCAGCCAUGACCCAGGAAAGAUCUCUAACAGCCAUCUGAGGAGUGGCCAGUGAAGUUAUCACUAGGCUGUAAUGUAAACACUGCAUUUUCUCUGAAAAGACAGUGUUUACAGCAAAAAGCCUGAAGGGAAUGAUUCUACUCACCAGAACAAAUUAAUUAAGCUGUAGUUGUUCUGGUGACUAUAGUGUCCCUUUAAAAUAAAUGAGUAGAAUCUGUCUGUCUCACAUUUAGCAAGUGUCACAAUCAACUUCUUCAAAAACCCAUGUUGGCCAAAAAAGGUGACACAACUUCAUACGGUUAUUUAUCAAGCUGAAAGAGAAAAUAUGCUUCCCUUUUCCAUGGAAUGCACUUGCAUGCAAAUGUGACCUGGUAUCAAGUUAUAGCAAAGAAAAUUGACUUGUGCAUUGGGAUAGCCAAAUUUGAAUGACAUUUUAAAAAUGAUUGCUUUAUGUAAGAUUACUAUGAACUUGUUUAACCAUAACCCAAUUCCUAGGACAGUCCCGGUUAUUGCUGGCGUUCUGGCUGUUGCAUCAUGGGAAAUAAAAGCAGCAACAGCUAAAAGUUAAAGGGAUUUUCCAGUGCCAGGAAAACAUAUUUGUUUUCCUGGCACUGUAGGACCCUCUAGUGCCCCUCUCCCUCCCACCCCCCUCACCCAAAUUGCUGAAGGGGUUAAAUCCCCUUCAGUGACUUACUGGAGUCCAGCGCCGAUGUCCGUCUGCACUGGGUCAGGCUCUGCCUAUUUUCCUCCCCCCCCGACAUCAGCCGGCGGGGGAGACCUAAUGCGCAUGAAAGGCAAUGGCCGUGCACGCACAUUAGACCUCCCAUAGGAAAGCAUUAUACAAUGCUUUCCUAUGGGGAUUUCGGUGACACAGGAGGUCCUCACAUAUCGUGAGGAUGUCCAACGUCGCUGAAAACACUUUUCGUGUUCUAUGAACAUGGACGUCCCUCUAGUCUAGUAGACAGCCACUAUAGGAGGACUUAACCCUGCAAUGUACAUAUUGCAGUUUAUGGAAACUGCAAUAAUUACACUUGCAGGGUUAAGGGUAGUGGGAGUUGGCACCCAGACUACUUCAAUGAGCAGAAGUGGUCUGGGUGCCUGGAGUAUACCUUUAACCAUCACUCUGAUUCCAUCAUUAGUUAAAAUUCAAUAAAAAAAAAAACAACAGAUUUUUUGUCAAUAGUCUUUGCUAGUAAAAUACUGGCCAGAACUGUAUUUGCAAAUGUGUGAUGCACAGGCGGAAUGGCAAAAUAUGGGGAACCCGUGGAUAUUUGGGUUAUGUGGGACAGAUUUAAAAUGACAAGGCUACAAUUGAUAUUAGCAGAGCGGAGCUAUUUUAUAUCGCCAUGGUGAUUUAUUUUCAAAUUUGGAAAUGACUAGGGGUAUGAACAUAUAACCGGUUUACACAGUUUGAAACCACAGUGGAUUAUGAAAUGGCACAGCUUUGACAGAUAUGUGACACUGCUCCAUGCAGUUUAUAACAAAGUAUCAUUAAUAGUAACUUCAGUGGGACUUCCCCUUAAGGUUGUAACAGGAAAUCAUAAAAAAAUGCUUCAUGUAUUCUGUUGAAAUAUGUGCUUUACCCCGGAUUUUAAAUUCUGCAAAAAGGUUCAACGUAGUGAAGGUUGUUAACGUUUUAUGAGUGAUAAUUUAAUGGUCUUUUCCCGACGAUAUUUAAUUCUUAAAAUUAUCAGUUUUAAAAGUGUAAAUGCUCGUUUUAUUUUUGGCCUUUUAUCAAACUUUAUUUGUACUUUAUUGUGAAAUGCUAUUGCCAAAAGGGAUUCUAAUGUUUAAAUCAGCAUUGAUAUAUUUUUUUGUCGAUGUGGUGAAGCUUUUUUGUGGUAAUACUGUUGAAUUGUAGUGCCUACACAUUUUAGGAGCAAGUAAUGUGGUGCAUCCUUAUGUAUUCAUUGUAAAAAUGAAGCUAGUAACUGAAACAAGAGUUUAACCGGUUAAGGACUGAGCCAAAUGUACACGUUGUGAAUGAAACAAAAUGUAAACAAAACCUGGCAUUUGCGCUACAUGUCUGUCCAACCGUAAUACACCUCUUUCAUAUUAAAUGCACCCACCCUUUUUAUAUAUCAUUUUAUUCAGGGGAAACAGGGCUUUCAUUUAAUAUCAAAUAUUUAGCUGUGAAACAUAAAUUAAUGUGAAAAAAAUUGGAGAAAAUAAGAUUUUUUUUAUUUUCUUAGUUCUACAUGACAUUUUAACUGUCAAUGUCAUAAUACUGUUUGCGUUUACUGAAAUAAAAUACACCUAUUUGUAUUCAGCAAAGUCUCACGUGUAAAACAGUACCCCCUAUGUACAGGUUUUAUGGUGUAUUGGGAAGUUACAGGGUCAAUAUAGCACGUUACAUUUGAAAUUGAAAUUCGCCAGAUAGUUUAUGUUACCUUUGAGACUGUAUAGUAGCCCAGGAAUGAAAUUUACACCCAUAAUGGCAUACCAUUUGCAAUAG